rnacentral:rRNA from 1 species
CACAAGCGGUGGAGCAUGUGGUUAAUUCGAAGCAACGCGAAGAACCUUACCAGGCCUUGACAUGCAGAGAACUUUCCAGAGAUGGAUUGGUGCCUUCGGGAACUCUGACACAGGUGCUGCAUGGCUGUCGUCAGCUCGUGUCGUGAGAUGUUGGGUUAAGUCCCGCAACGAGCGCAACCCUUGUCAUUAGUUGCUACAUUCAGUUGGGCACUCUAAUGAGACUGCCGGUGACAAACCGGAGGAAGGUGGGGAUGACGUCAAGUCCUCAUGGCCCUUAUAGGUGGGGCUACACACGUCAUACAAUGGAUGGUACAAAGGGUCGCCAACCCGCGAGGGGGAGCCAAUCCCAUAAAGCCAUUCGUAGUCCGGAUCGCAGUCUGCAACUCGACUGCGUGAAGUCGGAAUCGCUAGUAAUCGUGGAUCAGAAUGUCACGGUGAAUACGUUCCCGGGUCUU